GCCGCGGUAAUACAGAGGGUGUGAGCGUUAAUCGGAUUUACUGGGCGUAAAGCGCGCGUAGGUAGCUAAUUAAGUCAAAUGUGAAAUCCCUGAGCUUAACUUGGGAAUUGCUUUCGAUACUGGUUAGCUAGAGUAUGGGAGAGGAUGGUAGAAUUCCAGGUGUAGCGGUGAAAUGCGUAGAGAUCUGGAGGAAUACCGAUGGCGAAGGCAGCCAUCUGGCCUAAUACUGACACUGAGGUGCGAAAGCAUGGGGAGCAAACAGGAUUAGAUACCCUGGUAGUCCAUGCCGUAAACGAUGUCUACUAGCCGUUGGGGGAUUUGAUCCUUUAGUGGCGCAGCUAACGCGAUAAGUAGACCGCCUGGGGAGUACGGUCGCAAGACUAAAACUCAAAUGAAUUGACGGGGGCCCGCACAAGCGGUGGAGCAUGUGGUUUAAUUCGAUGUAACGCGAAGAACCUUACCUGGCCUUGACAUAGUAGAAACUUUCCAGAGAUGGAUUGGUGCCUUCGGGAAUCUACAUACAGGUGCUGCAUGGCUGUCGUCAGCUCGUGUCGUGAGAUGUUGGGUUAAGUCCCGCAACGAGCGCAACCCUUUUCCUUACUUGCCAGCAUUUCGGAUGGGAACUUUAAGGAUACUGCCAGUGACAAACUGGAGGAAGGCGGGGACGACGUCAAGUCAUCAUGGCCCUUACGGCCAGGGCUACACACGUGCUACAAUGGUCGGUACAAAGGGUUGCUACACAGCGAUGUGAUGCUAAUCUCAAAAAGCCGAUCGUAGUCCGGAUCGCAGUCUGCAACUCGACUGCGUGAAGUCGGAAUCGCUAGUAAUCGCGGAUCAGAAUGCCGCGGUGAAUACGUUCCCGGGCCUUGUAC
rnacentral:rRNA from 1 species